UUUAACACCAGCACUGAUGCACCGGAUCCCAUCAGAACUCCGCAGUUAAGCAUGCAUGGGCGAGAGUAGUACUAGGAUGGCUGACCUCCUGAGAAGUCCUCGUGUUGCAC
rnacentral:rRNA from 1 species